rnacentral:rRNA from 1 species
GACGAACGCUGGCGGCGCGCCUAACACAUGCAAGUCGAACGAGCGAGAGAGAGCUUGCUUUCUUGAGCGAGUGGCGAACGGGUGAGUAACGCGUGAGGAACCUGCCUCAAAGAGGGGGACAACAGUUGGAAACGACUGCUAAUACCGCAUAAGCCCACGGUGCCGCAUGGCACAGAGGGAAAAGGAGCAAUCCGCUUUGAGAUGGCCUCGCGUCCGAUUAGCUAGUUGGUGAGGUAACGGCCCACCAAGGCGACGAUCGGUAGCCGGACUGAGAGGUUGAACGGCAACAUUGGGACUGAGACACGGCCCAGACUCCUACGGGAGGCAGCAGUGGGGAAUAUUGCACAAUGGGGGAAACCCUGAUGCAGCGACGCCGCGUGGAGGAAGAAGGUCUUCGGAUUGUAAACUCCUGUUGUUGGGGAAGAUAAUGACGGUACCCAACAAGGAAGUGACGGCUAACUACGUG